CUGAGAGUUUAAUCUUAGUGUCUGGAAGCAAUGAAGCACUGUUUCUGUUGAAGAACCUGUAGGACACCAGAUAAAUUUGUAAAUGUCACUUAAAGAUUAAAAACAACUCUGGAAUUCAAACUUCUAGCUGACAGUGUAAAGUGCCUGGUAAAUGAUUAGUAAUAAUGUCUCUGGAGAACACACGAAGUGUGUCAGUGCACCAACUUGGAACAAGAUUUCCAGGACAAGAAAAAGCAUCAGCCACACAUGUCCAGCUGUCAGAUCUCCUUCAUCAAGGAAUAUUUGCGAGACUCAUAAAAGCAUCCGAAGAGAGAGAGAGUCGGUCGUUCUAUCCUCUGAGCAAGGAAAGAGAAGCUUGUGCAUGGCCGGUGCAUGUUCCAGAGGAAGAAAGGCAGUGGGUGAGAGGGACACUUUGGGCCAGGCAACCAGUCCCAGGAGCACCCAGAACUGCAGCCCCGCCCCGUGGCCUGCGUCUAGGCCUCUGCCAGAUCUCCUGGGCCUCUCUGCAAAGAGCUCAAGCACUGCUGGUUUCCACAGCUUUCGAACUCAGCCCGAAGCUUCCUCGGCUACACUGAGGGUGAGCUGGGUGGGAGGGGUGACCACUUCCAAACUCGGACCUGCCCAGAAAACAAUUCCAAUCAAAGCUUUCUCUUAAACGAGAUUCUUGUGCUGGUAUCUCCGUCCAAGGGGUUCUUUCUUCAUUUCUCUUCAGCAAAAAUAUUUAUGCAGGCUGCAAGUUCCCCAUCCUUCAUGCACUUUCUAGGAGGGAGCAGGCAGCGCUCCCCGCACCAGCCCAGCACAUCCUGGGUGUCUUCCAUUCAGCGGGCAUCUGACCGACAGUCAGGCGGUGAGGGGAGGGAGCAAGUGGCUCUGGGUCUUGGUCGACUUCUCUCUCUCCCUCUCAGCUGUACACUGCAGCCCAGCCUCCCCUCCCCUCGGUCAUAUGCGUUAAUAAAAGCACGCACGAGUUCCCAGCCACAGUCUGUUCUGCAGACACUUUCUCUUUCGUAAACAAAGUGGGAAAGCGAGCCUCCUCUGCUCUUCCAGCUUCUGCAAAGAUGUUCACGAAAGAUUGACUUGUGGUUGAGCUGCUCAGCCCAGCUGCACAGUACUCAGGGACUGGGCUCCUUCUCUGACUUCUGACUCCAAGCGUUCUGCUUACCCGCGUGUUUCCUGUACCACCCAGGGACUAACGCGUGACUAGGAUGCCAGGUUCCCACAGCAAAUCACAUAGAAGUCCCUGCUUCCUCUUACAUGCUGGAUCCCCAUGCCUGCCGGUCAGUGGGGCCUUCACAGGGUCCCCUUGCAGUGCCUGGGACACCUGGACCUUUUCCUCAGACACGGGCCCCGGUCCUCUUGUGCAGUGCUGGCCCUGCAUCCCUGAGUCACAGCACACACCGACCACUCCAGAGCCGCUCCCCGGCUGGCAUCAUAUGCAUGGCCAGUGUCUACCAUCUCCCACCGAAGACUUUGCCCAGCUCAAGACCAAGGAGACCAGGUGACUCUGUGACCAGGAAAGUGUGGCUCAGCUGCACAGGCCCCCUUGGGCUGCAACAACCCUUCCUGGGUAGUAGCGAGCCCCGAGCCCUCUCGGGGUCAGGCCCCCCCACACCCUGGGAAUUCUGCUGCAGCAGGAGGUGCUGAGUCAGCCACAGGCCCUGUGGACAGCCCAGCUUCAACUUCAGCAUAUAAAUCCCGUCCUGCUCUGCAGCUCAUACAAUGGCAAUGACAUCCCCACCACCAAAGUCUGUAGGCUUCCCAUGUGACAUUUUUAAACAAAAUGUUAAACUUAUACCCAUAAAAUAAUAGAAAAUGAUAGCCCAGCCAGCAACAUUAAAAGCUGCUUUUUCUAUGAAUUCCGUCUAUUGACUGCUAAGCGUCUUCUGUGUGUUGGAUUUUCUGCUUAGCCGUGAAGACAUAGAAUUGAAUGGAGACAUUGUACCCACCCUGACCAGCUCAGAGCCAUGGCCCAGGACAGACUACAGCCUAUCAGGAACCAGCACCACAGAGCAGGUCGUGGUGCAGAACCUGCCUGAAACUCUCAAAUAGAGACUCUUGCAGUCUGAACGGUCAACGAUGCCUUCGUAUUUCUGAAGCAGUUUUACAACUUUCUGAAAUAUUAAGAAUAUCCUCAUGCAAAACACCUGUUCUGUACUAGGCAAUCCGGCGAACUGACUCAAGAAAGACAGAAAUGCUGUCAAAUUGCACAGAGCACACUUCCAAGUCAUGUGGGCUUCUGGGGGGAAUGAAAGGUCUGCCACCCUUCCCAGGGGGCAGCUGCCAGCGUGGAAAGGGACUGGCUUCUUGUGAACAACACAGGCCCUUGCAGAAGCGUGAGCGAGAGAACGAAUAUCCAGGCAGACAGUCACCAGAUCAAACAUAAAGACGGAGCCCUGACCCCUGGCCUGCACCCCCAAAAAGCCUUCUCUAUAGCAAGCAGUGGAAGUCAAAGUUGAAGCCACUUCACUCCCCUGAGUGAACAUCCAGACAGUAAUCUCCAACGAGUGGCCCCAAAUGGCUGUGACUUCGCUGAGUAACAGACAGCCUCUCUAAUGUUAGUCCCUCCUCCUAACUUAGGACUGACUGAAGCAAUUAUGCUCCUCUGACCCUCCUGCAGGGUGCCAGGUUUCUAGCAGGCUGACCUCAGCUCCCCCAGGCCAGCGCCCUCCGUCCAGGACCCUCGAAGCCUCUUUGCCCACUACAAAGCCCUCCCGCACCCGCGCCUGACCUUCAGGCCCUCUCUCCUCUCCAGUGACGCUGCCAACUCCAGUGCCCUAGCCAGCAAUUAACUCCAUUUCACAGGUGGGUUUCGCUUUGAAAUGCUUCCUCCUUCACGCCCCCUCAGAGCCCUCAGAAGAGAUGCAGACCCAGUAGGUGGCCCUGGGGUCUGUGGAGCCCAUAACUCUUCCAAGCUCUCAAAUGUGAGCCGGAAGAAGGGAAGGGAGCUAAUUUGUUUAGGUGGGGUUUUAAAGCUGGAAGGACUCCUAAGAAUUACUAAAAUCCUUUGGUUCAUCAAAGCUGUUUGACUCUUCACUUCUUCAGAAUAAUUUGCCCACAGGGUACACAUUAUAAAUAAGGUCCUUGUCACCCACUUAAAUUGGUUGUCAUUCUAAUCGAUUCCCUUUAUGUUAGCCAGAACUCUGCAGACAAAGUGGAAGAAAAGUAGGCCAAGUUCAUUGUGUGCCAUUCAUUUGAUGUCAAGAAAAUAAAUCAUCCCAUAGCAGAACAUAUGCAAAGUUCACAGUUCAUGCCUGGCACCUUGUACUUUUAACUGGGAAUGUGCUAAUGACAGGGCAAAGUGGGGGUGUCGGGAUUUUAGAGCUACUUUCAAGCCCAGGGGAAGUUUUGGGUACCCCACAGGAUACAGAGCUUCCAAGAUGAGGACUGUGGGUCACCAGGCUGCAGAUCUCAGCAGUGCUCAGAUCCAGGAAAACGAAGCCCAGAGCCGUGAUGAACUCCACCUCCUUGCGUCUGGAGACAGCGUGUGUUGAUGGACAGCUUAGCUGUGGCUACAGUGUCCAUGCCCAGCACCCAAUCGGGGAGUUGCCUGUCCCACCACAGCAGGCUUGAAUUUGAACCAACCAGCAGAAUUAAAUUUGGACCAAUCAGAGGAUCACAUUUGGACCAAUCACAGACUCGCUGCUGCUAUAGAAGCCCCAGGCCUCUGGACUCCUCUGGUAGCUAGCUAUCCAUCAUCUGCAGUGUUCUGGUGUGCUGCAGCAUGGGCCUUGUUCAAAUCAAGCCUUGCUCUGGCGGUCUUGUAAACCUAUUCAGAAUGUGUUGUAUGGACAGGGGUCUUUUUUAAAGGAGCUAUAAACUCUGGGAGCCACUGUCCUUGCAGAGCUUUCCUGAAGAGCUCCAGACUCGAGCAGCCUGUGAUGAUUGGAGACGGAGACAGUGUCCACUCCCAGGUGCAGCAAAGAGGCCAUUAGCAGUGGUGACAGCAGCCAUGUCCAGCUGCUGUCUUUCAGCUCAUCAGAGCUGCACCUGGUCAUUUCCUGACUUCUAUCAGAAUUGAGCAAAUGAUGUUCUAUUGAUCGGCACCGACUGUGUUCCCACAGGGCUCCCAUGGGGCACUCGGCACCGCACCCCUGUGCUCAUGAAGUGUCCUUUCCGGAAGUUGGGACAUGAUGAAGAGGGAACUGAAGCCCUGUCCCUUGGGCUGCCAGCCCUGUCAUCUCCAUGUCGCCCUCACCUUGGCCCUGCCCCGUACAUCCUCUUCCUUCCUGCUGGCUCGGACACCCUUGGGAGGUGCAUGCUUCACCAGGCAGCACACAGUGACCUCCCCAUGCCAGCUGAGAGGCAUUUCCAGGUCUGGGCUCAGCUCCCAGGACUGUGACCAAGUUGCCUAACAGGGCUGGGGACAAAGUCCCUUGCACCAGGGUAUGUUUCUUCUUCUCCACCUCGGCUUGCCCUGUGUUAAGAGGAUAAGGAAGUGCAACACAGAAGGAAUUAGUGAAGGCCUCUUCUGGAGAAAGCAGUGGUGAUCCAGCUGGGCAGCUGCCGUGGGCAUAUGAGGGUGCUCACGUCACCCAUCAUUCCUUGACAUGCCCAAAACACAUCCAUCUCCAAACCCUUUCUGUUUGGAAGAAGCAGUACUUGUGAGCCAUACUUUGCACCCCAAAUACCCGAUGCAGAAUGGACAGAAAAGAGAUGGAAAAGCAGUGGAUGCUGCAGGCAGCAGCUCCACCAUCAUUGAAAGAUAAAUCAGCUUGCAGGAGUUCAGCAAGAGACCAGCUUGGGCAGAGUCACAUCAAGGAAAAGAAAGUCCAGCUGUAAAUCCACAGCUCUGGACUCUGGCGCUCCCAGGGUUUUGUCUUGUCCUGCUGCCCACCCAGGGGACUGUCAUGCAGCCUGUCCUUCCUAAAUCCCACUCUUGUUUUUGUUUUCAGAACAUGCAUGCAUGGAAUGAGCUCACACCUGCCCCACUUUGGUCCCCCAGGGAAGCAGCAGAGAGCAGUGGUUGGCUUUGCAGCCACAGAGAAGACAAGAACUCAGCACAUUUUCUCCUGAGGCCUUGGCUAUAAGCAGGUUUUAUAAGAUUGGAACAAAGCCAAUUUCCUGCCAUGCUUGAGAUUUACCUAGUUUCCUGCAGCAGAGAAGGCAAGAGGCCGUCGCUAUACAGCCCUCCAGCCUUGCCUUCCUGAAGAGUCUCCUGAAGUCACUAAGUUCCCCAGGCUGGGCUUGAACUUGCAAUCUUCCUGCCUCAGCUUCCCAGAGUCCUGGGAUUAGAGGUGUGCACCACACAUGGGGCUAAAUGGAUUCCAUUUUCUCCGUGGGCUCCACACUUCUCUGUAGUCUCAGACACAGGAAGUGGGGCUGUUGUUUGUUUGCUGAUCUAUCUUCUUCCAAUUCACUCAGCCUGUCCUCUUCCGGUGACCCUGGUCCCUGUGCUUCGCUAUCUCAAGCUCACCCUGUGGUCACCAGGCAUGACCUGUGAGUGGAGCCACCUGCCUGUGCUUGCCCAGGAGAGUUCAUUUCCCACCCCAGUGCUCCUUGUCCUUGGUUUCCCCUUCCCAGCUGGCCCAGACCUUCUCCCCCUGCAUUGGAAAAUUUUAGAGGCGCAGCCAGCAUCCUAGGAGAGGGAUUUCCUGUUGUUUGUUUGUUUGUUUGUUUGUUUGUUUGUUUUGGUGCUGGGUAUCAAAUCCAGGGCCUUCACUCUGAGCUACGUUCCAGCCCCUUUUUGUUUUAUGUUUGGAGACAGGGUCUCACUAAGUUUCUAAAUUGCCCAGGAUAGGCUCCAACUUGCAACCCUUUUGCCUCAGCCUCCAAGAGUGCAGAGAUUAUAGGGUUAUACCACCACACCCAGUUUCUCUCUCCUUCUCUCCUUCUGUCCCUCUCCUCCUCUCCUUCUGUCCCUCUCCUCCUGCCUCUUUGCUGCUCUGUUUCCCAGUGGGCCUAUGGAGGAGGGAGCAGGCUGUGACACCACUGUGUCCUCCAGGAAGCAGGAGACUGGGUUUCCAGACAGACUUCAGGCUCCACGAAGUCAUGAGCCCCGAAGCCCUGGAAGGCAGGCCUGGAAGGCUGUAUAGCAACGGCCUCUCACCUUCUCUGCUGCAGGAAACUAGGUAAAUAAAAAGGACUGGAGGUGUAGCUCAGUGUGAAGUCCCUGGCUUCAAUCUCUAGUACAUCAAGAAAAAAGAAAAAAGGGAGUCAACCUUUGUCCCAGCCCUCUGAUCUUCCCAACAGCUCUCUGGCCUAAGCUUUGCAUACAAGAACAAGAUUUAUAUAUAAACCUGUUUAGCUUUUUUUAAACAAACUUGAAAACUGGUUAGCAUCCCCCCAGUGUGGGUGGAAACAAAUUCCAAAGGUGAAAUCGAUGACCUGUGGCUAUGGAGUGACUCAAGGCUGCCUGUGUCACCUGAGCCGGGAUGGGUCACAGCUAUGUUUUGUCCACCUGGCCAUUGUGGGAGGAACCUUUCCUUCCCUAGGGAAUUCUUGCCUAUUUACUAAGACCCCACUCAGAAGCAUCCCCAGUGUUCCCCAUGUGCCCAGCAGCAACCCUGGGAAGAGUCAGUCACAGCCACUGAGCCCAGGCAGACCCCUCCCCACAGCUGGGCUUCCAGGGCUCUGCUGUUCUGCAUAAUUCUCCCCACUGGCAUUGUCCAGGGACAGCAGAGCCCUGUGUUUGUGCUCAGGCCUCAACACAAAGGGGGCUCCUGGAAGGCUUUGCCCAAUCCCCCCUUCUCUGCAAAAGCGUUCCUCCACAGGACGUGGGACAACAAGACCAUAACACGAAACAAAAUAUGGCUGCAUCCAAAGACCCUGCAAGGCAGGCUAAGUGGGUUUUAGUUCUGUGAGCUGUUUCCCUCUUCUCAUUUUCCCACCAUCUCUCCCAGGAGUGCAAGGUUUGCUUUCUAUUCUUAAAUUCCUGCUUUGUCGAAUCUGUGUGGAUUCACUCCAGUGAACUGAAUGCAAUGAAAGAAAACAAGGUUCUUCUUGGAUUCAGGGAAAUGUGGUAAUUUUUUAUUGAUAAAAAGAACGACAUUGUUUGGCCAUGUUGGAAGUGAUUGCAAAUGUUUUGCUCAGAUUAGUUGUAAAGAUUUCACCAACAACAUCACCUACCAGGGACAAGAUCUCUGUGUUAACUCUGAGUACCAGCAGCAGUGAGGAGUUGGAAAGGAUGCAGAUGAAACAAAGGGGCUACCGGAAUGCCUCUUGGGCCCCAGACUUUCAUGCCAUUGUCUGGGGAGAAAUGCACUCAGCUCGGCCCUGGCCUGGCCCCCAGACACGGCUUCCCUGGGAAGCUCUUCAGACCAUGAGCUUGGAGAGACCCAUGCCUGUGACUAAUUGUUUAUGGUUCUCAUUGAUUGUCAAGACUCCUGACAAAAUUCUCAGAAAUAGAAACUGCAGUUGCUGCAUAUGCAAGACUUUCUCAGAGUGUUUGAGAACACUCCCAAUACAAGCCCCCUUUCCAUCUGGCAAGAGAACCCUGCAGAGAGAAAGCUCAAAGUGUACAUAGCAAUAACCAUUUCCUCCAGGAUUAGACCCUACCUGAUCAUGGCCAGAAAUAAAUGCAUCCCCGUGUAUAUGUGAGACAGCAGAUAAGUGGGCCAACCAGGUAUAUCUGGUUUUCUGAAAGAGCACAACUUUCUAACAUAGCUGCAGAAAGUAACAGUGUGACUGCCACUCCAAAACAGCUGAGACUAUUAAAGCCAAAUGGGCAGACUUCGCCUUACUGAGGGAAGAAAAUGCAGCUAAGCUUUAAACCAUUACCGUUUAUCACAUUAAAAGGCACAUAGGUUGCAGUGGGAGUUAUGUGUGUAUGUGUUCAGGUAGGAUCACCUCCGUCUGGUGCCUUGCAAAGUCUUUGCUCUAUAAAAGUCCAUCCUGAAGGCAAGAUUGAAAACCACAUGGAAACCUGUUUCCCCUCUUGAGAGUCAAAUUCUCCAUUCAUCAAGGAAAUCACUACUCUCUCCCAUAAGCUGAAGUACAGAACUCUUCAGGGAGCUGUUCAGCUCACAUGUUAAGACUCCCAGGUAUUGGAGAUUCACAGCAAAGCCCUAGUUUCAGUUACUAGGGUGGCUACAGUUUGGUAAUUGGUGGCCAUCAGGAAGAAGGAAACCGCAUAUAUAUAUAUAUA